rnacentral:sRNA from 1 species
UCUUGGUUCCAUUAGAGGAAGUAAAAGUCGUAACAAGGUCUCCGUUGGUGAACCAGCGGAGGGAUCAUUACUGAGUUUACGCUCUACAACCCUUUGUGAACAUACCUAUAACUGUUGCUUCGGCGGGCAGGGUCUCCGUGACCCUCCCGGCCUCCCGCCCCCGGGCGGGUCGGCGCCCGCCGGAGGAUAACCAAACUCUGAUUUAACGACGUUUCUUCUGAGUGGUACAAGCAAAUAAUCAAAACUUUUAACAACGGAUCUCUUGGUUCUGGCAUCGAUGAAGAACGCAGCGAAAUGCGAUAAGUAAUGUGAAUUGCAGAAUUCAGUGAAUCAUCGAAUCUUUGAACGCACAUUGCGCCCGCCAGCAUUCUGGCGGGCAUGCCUGUUCGAGCGUCAUUUCAACCCUCAAGCUCUGCUUGGUGUUGGGGCCCUACAGCCGAUGUAGGCCCUCAAAGGUAGUGGCGGACCCUCCCGGAGCCUCCUUUGCGUAGUAACUUUACGUCUCGCACUGGGAUCCGGAGGGACUCUUGCCGUAAAACCCCCAAUUCUCCAAAGGUUGACCUCGGAUCAGGUAGGAAUACCCGCUGAACUUAAGCAUAUCAAAGACCCGGAGGAA